rnacentral:rRNA from 1 species
AACCUUGUCCUUAGUUACCAGCACGUUAUGGUGGGCACUCUAAGGAGACUGCCGGUGACAAACCGGAGGAAGGGUGGGGAUGACGUCAAGUCAUCAUGGCCCUUACGGCCUGGGCUACACACGUGCUACAAUGGUCGGUACAAAGGGUUGCCAAGCCGCGAGGUGGAGCUAAUCCCAUAAAACCGAUCGUAGUCCGGAUCGCAGUCUGCAACUCGACUGCGUGAAGUCGGAAUCGCUAGUAAUCGUGAAAUCAGAAUGUCACGGUGAAUACGUUCCCGGGCCUU